GUUUAUUAACAAUCAUUGCGAACUAUAAAUAUUUCCCUACUUAAAUAUUUAUCGUGUUUUACAAGGUUUUUCAAAGUUACAUCGGAUUGACUCGGUGAACAGCAGACUGUAUCUCCGACUGCUGCGGUCGAGGAGGAGGAGGAGGAGCGGCGGCGGCGGCUCCGGAGGAGUAAGUACUGACCAGAUCAUUAAUUGACCGAGCAUGGAAGUAAGCAUGCAACAUGCAGCAAGCAUGGCUUCUGUCACGGCUCCGGCGCUGCGGGGCUCCGGCGGUACCAUGCGAGCUUAUCGUCGCAGAUGGUUUUCACGCUCACCACCGCAGCUUCGGCUUGCUGCCCGGCAGAGCCGGCCAGCCUCAGCCGCGGCGGCGAGCGCUUCAACUACCUGCGCCUCAGCUCGCAGGCCGCCUCGCCCCUCCGCGCCUACACGGUUUUGAAUUGCACUCUAGGGGUAGGGCAGACAAGACUACGUGGAGUCGGUUUUGCAGCGAUUCGUUUUCGUCACUAACUUCAAUUUUUAAUACAAUGUUUUGAAUCCAAAUUAAAUUCUACCAUAAAAAAAAA